UACGGGGGGGGCAAGCGUUGUCCGGAAUUACUGGGCGUAAAGGGCUCGUAGGCGGCUUGUUAAGUCAGACGUGAAAUCCCUCGGCUCAACCGGGGAACUGCGUCUGAGACUGAUGAGCUCGAGUGCAGGAGAGGAACGCGGAAUUCCAGGUGUAGCGGUGAAAUGCGUAGAUAUCUGGAGGAACACCGGUGGCGAAGGCGGCGUUCUGGACUGCAACUGACACUGAGGAACGAAAGCCAGGGGAGCAAACGGG
rnacentral:rRNA from 1 species